rnacentral:rRNA from 1 species
UACGUAGGGGGCGAGCGUUGCCCCGGAUUCAUUGGGCGUAAAGCGCGCGCAGGCGGCCCGCCCCGUCCCGUGUGAAAGCCCCCGGCUCAACCGGGGCGGUCAUGGGAGACCGGCGGGCUGGGGCCUGGGAGGGGGAAGCGGAAUUCCCGGUGUAGUGGUGGAAUGCGUAGAGAUCGGGAGGAAUACCGGUGGCGAAGGCGGCAUCCUGGACCGGCAUUGACGCUGAGGAGCGAAAGCCAGGGGAGCAAACGGGAUUAGAUACCCGUGUAGU